rnacentral:tRNA from 1 species
UGGGAUGUAGCUCAAUUUGUAGAGCGCUAUGUAUUGCAUGCUAGAGGAACAGGUUUCAAUUCCUUGCAUCUCCA